AUUGAACGCUGGCGGCAGGCCUAACACAUGCAAGUCGAGCGGUUGAACUGGGCUUUCUCCUUGAUUGGACGGCUGACGAGUGGGUGAGUCCUAGGUAUGUGCCUGGUCCUGGAGGAUGACGUCAGCAAACGGAACCUGAUACCGCAUACGUUCUGAGUUGUAACGUCAUGGAUCUGCGGACCUCAGGCUAUCAGAUUUGCCUAGGUCGGAUUAGCUAGUUGGUGGGGUAAAGGCCUACCUAGGCGACGAUCCGUAACUGGUCUGAGAGGAUGAUCAGUCACACGGGAACUGAGACAGGGUCAAGAGUCCUAAGAGAGGGAGCAGUGGGGAAUAGUGGACAGUGGGCGAAAGCAUGAUACAGCGAUGGCGCGUGUGUGAAGAAGGCCUUGGGAUUGUAAAGAACGUUUAGUUGGGAGGAAGGUCAGUAAGUUAAUACGUUGCUGAAUUGACGUUACGAACAGAAGAAGCGCCGGCUAACUUCGUG
rnacentral:rRNA from 1 species